rnacentral:rRNA from 1 species
UGGGGAAUAUUGGACAAUGGGCGCAAGCCUGAUCCAGCCAUGCCGCGUGAGUGAUGAAGGCCUUAGGGUUGUAAAGCUCUUUCGCCGGUGAAGAUAAUGACGGUAACCGGAGAAGAAGCCCCGGCUAACUUCGUGCCAGCAGCCGCGGUAAUACGAAGGGGGCUAGCGUUGCUCGGAAUCACUGGGCGUAUAGCGCACGUAGGCGGAUCGUUAAGUCAGGGGUGAAAUCCUGGGGCUCAACCUCAGAACUGCCCUUGAUACUGGCGAUCUCGAGUUCGAGAGAGGUUGGUGGAACUCCGAGUGUAGAGGUGAAAUUCGUAGAUAUUCGGAAGAACACCAGUGGCGAAGGCGGCCAACUGGCUCGAUACUGACGCUGAGGUGCGAAAGCGUGGGGAGCAAAACAGGAUUAGAUACCCUGGUAGUCCACGCCGUAAAACGAUGGAUGCUAGCCGUUGGGGAGCUUGCUCUUCAGUGGCGCAGCUAACGCCUUAAGCAUCCCGCCUGGGGAGUACGGUCGCAAGAUUAAAA